rnacentral:rRNA from 1 species
GACGAACGCUGGCGGCGUGCUUAACACAUGCAAGUCGAACGGAAAGGCCCCUUUGGGGGUACUCGAGUGGCGAACGGGUGAGUAACCCGUGAGUAACCUGCCCUUGACUUCGGGAUAACUUCAGGAAACUGGGGCUAAUACCGGAUAGGAAUCCUUGCUGCAUGGUGGGGGUUGGAAAGCUUCGGCGGUUUUGGAUGGACUCGCGGCUUAUCAGCUUGUUGGUGGGGUAGUGGCUUACCAAGGCUUUGACGGGUAGCCGGCCUGAGUGGGCGACCGGCCACAUUGGGACUGAGAUACGGCCCAGACUCCUACGGGAGGCAGCAGGGGGGAAUAUUGCACAAUGGGCGGAAGCCUGAUGCAGCAACGCCGCGUGCGGGAUGACGGCCUUCGGGUUGUAAACCGCUUUCAGCAGGGGCGAAGCUUGUGGUGACGGUACCUGCAGAAGAAGCACCGGCUAACUACGUG